rnacentral:rRNA from 1 species
AACCUCCGCAAUGUGAGAAAUCGCGACGGGGGGAUCCCAAGUGCCAUUCUUAACGGGAUGGCUUUUCAUUAGUGUAAAGAGCUUUUGGAAUAAGAGCUGGGCAAGACCGGUGCCAGCCGCCGCGGUAACACCGGCAGCUCUAGUGGUAACAAUUUUUAUUGGGCCUAAAGCGUCCGUAGCCGGUUUAAUAAGUCUCUGGUGAAAUCCUGUAGCUUAACUGUGGGAAUUGCUGGAGAUACUAUUAGACUUGAGACCGGGAGAGGUUAGAGGUACUCCCAGGGUAGAGGUGAAAUUCUGUAAUCCUGGGAGGACCGCCUGUUGCGAAGGCGUCUAACUGGAACGGUUCUGACGGUGAGGGACGAAAGUUAGGGGCGCGAACCGGAUUAGAUACCCGGGUAGUCCUAACUGUAAACGAUGCGGACUUGGUGUUGGGGUGGCUUUGAGCUGCUCCAGCGCCGAAGGGAAGCUGUUAAGUCCGCCGCCUGGGAAGUACGGUCGCAAGACUGAAACUUAAAGGAAUU